rnacentral:lncRNA from 1 species
UUAGUUGGAGCAUUUUUAGGGGUGCUUAGGGGCCCAAGACAAAUUACAAAGAUGUGAAGAGUGAGAAAGGAGAAAAAAGGAAACAUGCUAAGUAGUUUUCUCAAAAAAAUUAGAUAAGGGAGAUAAGCAUCUAUAUCAUAGAUCAUGUUAGUUUCUUUGAAUCUACAAGGUAGAUUAGUCUUUUUUGCCUGCUUCCUCAAACCACAACGCUGGAUUGAGCUUUUGUAGUCAGUUGAGUUUUUAAUUUAUUUGGAGAGUCUCAGUUUCUAACCUAGUGCCUGGAACUCUGUAAUGGACUGUUAAGUCAUUGAAAGAUUGGGGAAGACAUGAUGAACACGUUUUCUGUUACUAUUUUCCAGGGAAAUACCAAUUAUUUUGAUGGAAAUUAUUUGAAGGCAUUGGAAUACAAAUCUGUGUGAAGUGAGUUAAAUCUCCGCAAGGCCAAGAUACACUGUGUUUAAUUACACCUUCAUGGAAACUCAAUUAUAUCCUUCUUGCUGAUAGAAAACUGAAUUCCUUAAAAAUUAAAUGAAUUAAAAUUUGUGUAUGACAGGACUAUUAUACCCAUAACAGUUCCACUGCAAGUACAUGAGACUGUCAUGGCAAUAACUGAAAAACUAAAGGAGAUGUCUAUGUAGACAGCUGCUCAUUUACUGCCUGAGGCUCAGAAUCAAUCAUAACUCCAGGUGAACUGAAUCCCUCAGAGCACCAAGGGAAACCUGAGAAGCAUUCCAGGAGACCUCCGUUUGACUGGCUUUUCGGAUAUAUAUAACACAGGCUGAAGUGUGCUGUCAAAACUCAUCAUUUAAGUAUUGUAAACUCCAUUAAAAUAUUCCUUUAAAAGAGAAAGAGCUGCAGACUUGAUACAGGAAGGAUCUCUUCCAUGAUUCUGGGAUUUGGAGCUCAGGUGGUACAACGG